rnacentral:piRNA from 1 species
UGCUUGUGACUAAUUAUUGCUGGAAGA